rnacentral:rRNA from 1 species
AGAGUUUGAUUAUGGCUCAGGAAUGAACGCUAGCUACAGGCUUAACACAUGCAAGUCGAGGGGCAGCAUUGGAGUAGCAAUACUCAGAUGGCGACCGGCGCACGGGUGAGUAACACGUAUCCAACCUGCCGCUUACUCGGGGAUAGCCUUUCGAAAGAAAGAUUAAUACCCGAUGGUAUAAAGAGUUCGCAUGUUCUCUUUAUUAAAGAAUUUCGGUAAGCGAUGGGAUGCGUUCCAUUAGAUAGUUGGCGGGGUAACGGCCCACCAAGUCUACGAUGGAUAGGGGUUCUGAGAGGAAGGUCCCCCACAUUGGAACUGAGACACGGUCCAAACUCCUACGGGAGGCAGCAGUGAGGAAUAUUGGUCAAUGGACGAGAGUCUGAACCAGCCAAAAGUAGCGUGAAGGAUGACUGCCCUAUGGGUUGUAAACUUCUUUUAUAAGGGAAUAAAGUGAGGGACGUGUCCCUUUUUGUAUGUACCUUAUGAAUAAGGAUCGGCUAACUCCGUGCCAGCCGCCGC